rnacentral:rRNA from 1 species
UACGGAGGGUGCGAGCGUUGUCCGGAGUCACUGGGCGUAAAGGGCGCGUAGGCGGCUCGGUGAGUCGGGGGUGAAAUCCUGCGGCUUAACCGCAGGGCUGCCUUCUAAACUGUCGAGCUCGAGCACGGUAGAGGCAGAUGGAAUUCCCGGUGUAGCGGUGGAAUGCGUAGAGAUCGGGAAGAACAGCAGUGGCGAAGGCGGUCUGCUGGGCCGUUGCUGACGCUGAGGCGCGACAGCGUGGGGAGCAAACAGG